rnacentral:lncRNA from 12 species
GCUGCGGCCCUACUCGUGCACUCACUCCCCCCUGCAGGUGCAGACACUGCUUGCUCAGCUGGGCUCACUUGCCAGGCAAGUGACACACCCUCUGGACGCCAGUUUACAGCCCUCAGUGAGGACUUGGACUCAGGAUCAUUGCAUCUGUGAUUCUCUUGGACCCUCACCUGGUGGCCGCCCCCAGGUCUGCUUGCUCUGCUUUGGCACUUCUCUAGUUCCUGGAGGUACUGGGUAUUCUCUGCCCAGUUCUGGAUCUCCUCUCACCCUGUCGACCUUGUUCUGUGCUCCAGGGGCCGGCUGUCCCAGAGACUGUCAAGGUGCACCGUGGGAGGCACGCUGGAGAUCACAGGUAAGUGGAGGAGCAAGUGGGGUGUGUGUGUUUCCCCAGUUCCCUCCAUGCAGUUGCUGGAGUUGUCCAGGUUCCUCUACAAAGGCCAC